rnacentral:tRNA from 1 species
GGUGCGGUGUGGCAAGGAAACGCAGUUAGGGGCGCUAGGGAAAGGUCUGCAAAACCUUUAUGCGUCGGUUCGAUUCCGACCCGCGCCUCCA